GUCCACGCCGUAAACGAUGGAUGCUAGCCGUUGGCCGGUUUACCGGUCAGUGGCGCAGCUAACGCAUUAAGCAUCCCGCCUGGGGAGUACGGUCGCAAGAUUAAAACUCAAAGGAAUUGACGGGGGCCCGCACAAGCGGUGGAGCAUGUGGUUAAAUUCGAAGCAACGCGCAGAACCUUACCAGCCCUUGACAUGUCCCGUAUGGGUUUCAGAGAUGAGAUCCUUCAGUUCGGCUGGCGGGAACACAGGUGCUGCAUGGCUGUCGU
rnacentral:rRNA from 1 species